rnacentral:rRNA from 1 species
CUAACGCGUGAAGGCGAGCACUCUAGACGAACUGCCGUUUGAACAAAACGGAGGAAGGUGGGAUGACGUCAAAUCAUCAUGCCCCUUAUGUUCUGGGCUACACACGUGCUACAAUGGCCGGUACAGACGGACGCAAAGCCGCGAGGUGGAGCAAAUCCUAAAAAGCCGGUCUCAGUUCGGAUUGCAGGCUGCAAUUCGCCUGCAUGAAGUCGGAAUCGCUAGUAAUCGCAGGUCAGCAUACUGCGGUGAAUACGUUCCCGGGCCUU